rnacentral:rRNA from 1 species
GGAGUCUGGACCGUGUCUCAGUUCCAAUGUGGCCGUUCAUCCUCUCAGACCGGCUACUGAUCGUCGCCUUGGUAGGUCGUUGCCCCACCAACCAGCUAAUCAGACGCAGACCCAUCGCAAAGCGAUAGCUUACAAGUAGAGGCCAUCUUUAAUCAGUCUCCCAUGCGGGAAUCUGACAACAUUCGGUAUUAGCAGUCCUUUCGGACUGUUGUCCCCAUCUUUGCGGCAGGUUGUCUACGCGUUACUCACCCGUUUGCCACUCGACUUUCAAAAGCAAGCUUUCAAUCGUCUCGUUCGACUUGCAUGUGUUAAGCACGCCGCCAGCGUUC